rnacentral:lncRNA from 1 species
UAACCGGGGUUGAAGCUCAUAAAUGGUCAGUGCGGACUCGGCAAAGUAAGUCGCUUGGUAAUUGGGCAAUCCGGUGAUCGGCAGUUUACUCAGGGUGGUACUUGGAGGUGUGCUCAACCUUUUUCUUUCUCUUUGUUUGUAAUUUUCUCUCUUUCGGCCUUGCCGAUCUCAUGUUUUUCUCUUCGGCUUCCCGAGAUGAUCUGUGUAAGUUUUUGU